GACGAACGCUGGCGGCGUGCCUAAUACAUGCAAGUAGUACGCAGUUGCGAACGGGUGAGUAACGCGUCGGUCACUCCCUAUUAGAGGGGGAUAACUAUUGGAAACGCUAGCUAAUCCCGCAUACUAGUAGAUGGACCUGCUUUGUAUUAGCUAGUAGGUAGGGUAAUGGCCUACCUAGGCAACGAUACAUCGCCGACCUGAGAGGGUGAUCGGCCACACUGUGACGGAGACACGGCCCAGACUCCUACGGGAGGCAGCAGUAGGGAAUCUUCGGCAAUGGGGGGAACCCUGACCGAGCAACGCCGCGUGAGGGAAGAAGGUUUUCGGAUCGUAAAGCUCUGUUGUUAAGGAAGCGGUACUUAACCAGAAAGGGACGGCUAACUACGUGCCAGCAGCCGCGGGAAUUC
rnacentral:rRNA from 1 species